rnacentral:rRNA from 1 species
UCUCCGUUGGUGAACCAGCGGAGGGAUCAUUACCGAGUUAUACAACUCAUCAACCCUGUGAACAUACCUAAACGUUGCUUCGGCGGGAAUAGACGGCCCCGUAAAACGGGCCGCCCCCGCCAGAGGACCCCUAACUCUGUUUCUAUAAUGUUUCUUCUGAGUAAAACAAGCAAAUAAAUUAAAACUUUCAACAACGGAUCUCUUGGCUCUGGCAUCGAUGAAGAACGCAGCGAAAUGCGAUAAGUAAUGUGAAUUGCAGAAUUCAGUGAAUCAUCGAAUCUUUGAACGCACAUUGCGCCCGCCAGUAUUCUGGCGGGCAUGCCUGUUCGAGCGUCAUUACAACCCUCAGGCCCCCGGGCCUGGCGUUGGGGAUCGGCGGAGCCCCCCCGUGGGCACACGCCGUCCCCCAAAUACAGUGGCGGUCCCGCCGCAGCUUCCAUCGCGUAGUAGCUAACACCUCGCGACUGGAGAGCGGCGCGGCCACGCCGUAAAACACCCAACUCUUCUGAAGUUGACCUCGAAUCAGGUAGGAAUACCCGCUGAACUUAA